AGAAUGAACGUUGGCGGCGUGGAUUAGGCAUGCAAGUCGAGCGAGAACCGUAGCAAUACGGGGACAGCGGCGAAAGGGACAGUAAUGUGUAGAUCAUCUGCCCUCGGGAUCGGGAUAGCUGCGGGAAACUGCAGGUAAUACCGAAUAAUAUCUCCGGAUCAAAUGGUGUGAUUCCGCCUGAGGAUGAGUCUGCAUCCUAUUAGCUAGUUGGUGGGGUAACGGCCUACCAAGGCAUUGAUGGGUAGCGGGUGUGAGAGCACGACCCGCGUCACUGGGACUGAGACACUGCCCAGACACCUACGGGUGGCUGCAGUCGAGAAUCUUCGGCAAUGGACGCAAGUCUGACCGAGCGACGCCGCGUGCGGGAUGAAGGCCUUCGGUUGUAAACCGCUGUCGGAGGGAUGAAAGUUAGGGUGGUUCUCCCACUUAUUGACAUAGCCUCAAAGGAAGUGUGGCUAAGUUCGCGCCAGCAGCCG
rnacentral:rRNA from 1 species